rnacentral:rRNA from 1 species
GACGAACGCUGGCGGCGUGCUUAACACAUGCAAGUCGAACGGAAAGGCCCUGCUUUUGUGGGGUGCUCGAGUGGCGAACGGGUGAGUAACACGUGAGUAACCUGCCCUUGACUUUGGGAUAACUUCAGGAAACUGGGGCUAAUACCGGAUAUGAGCUCCUGCUGCAUGGUGUGGGUUGGAAAGUUUCGGCGGUUGGGGAUGGACUCGCGGCUUAUCAGCUUGUUGGUGGGGUAGUGGCUUACCAAGGCUUUGACGGGUAGCCGGCCUGAGAGGGUGACCGGCCACAUUGGGACUGAGAUACGGCCCAGACUCCUACGGGAGGCAGCAGUGGGGAAUAUUGCACAAUGGGCGGAAGCCUGAUGCAGCAACGCCGCGUGCGGGAUGACGGCCUUCGGGUUGUAAACCGCUUUCGCCUGUGACGAAGAGUGAGUGACGGUAAUGGGUAAAGAAGCACCGGCUAACUACGUG